rnacentral:rRNA from 1 species
CAAGAGCGUAUGUAAAAGUUGUUGCAGUUAAAAAGCUCGUAGUUGAACCUUGGGUUUGGUUGGCCGGUCCGCUUUUUUGCGAGUACUGGAUUCAACCGUGCCUUUCCUUCUGGCUAACCAGUCGUUUCGGCGGCUGGCGAACCAGGAUUUUUACUUUGAGAAAAUUAGAGUGUUCAAAGCAGGCAUUAGCUUGAAUAUAUUAGCAUGGAAUAAUAGAAUAGGACGUUAUGGUUCUAUUUUGUUGGUUUCUAGGACCAUCGUAAUGAUUAAUAGGGACGGUCGGGGGCAUCAGUAUUCAGUUGUCAGAGGUGAAAUUCUUGGAUUUACUGAAGACUAACUACUGCGAAAGCAUUUGCCAAGGACGUUUUCAUUAA